CUAACCCAGUUCCCUCAUCGUGUUCCUGCGCACAACCCUAACCCGGUACCCCCAUCAGGUGUCCCUGCGCACAAUCCUAACCUAGUACCCUCAUCGUGUCCCUGCGCACAAUCCUAACCCGGUACCCCACCAUCAGGUGUCCCUGCGCACAAUCCUAACCUAGUACCCUCAUUGUGUCCCUGUGCACAAUCCUAACCUGGUACCCCCCCCAUCAGGUGUCCCUGCGCACAACCCUAACCCAGUACCCUCAUUGUGUCCCUGCGCACAAUCCUAACCCGGUACCUCCCCAUCAGGUGUCCCUGCGCACAACCCUAACCCAGUACCCCCAUAAGGUCUCCCUGUACACAACCCUAACCCGGUACCCCCAUAAGGUCUCCCUGUGCACAACCCUAACCCGGUACCCCCUCCAUCAGGUGUCCCUGCGCACAACCCUAACCUAGUACCCUCAUUGUGUCCCUGCGCACAACCCUAACCCGGUACCCCCAUAAGGUCUCCCUGUGCACAACCCUAACCCGGUACCCCCUCCAUCAGGUGUCCCUGCGCACAAUCCUAACCCGGUACCCCCCCAUCAGGUGUCCCUGCGCACAACCCUAACCUAGUACCCUCAUCGUGUCCCUGCGCACAAUCCUAACCCGGUACCCCCAUAAGGUCUCCCUGUGCACAACCCUAACCCGGUACCCCCAUAAGGUCUCCCUGUACACAACCCUAACCCGGUACCCCCAUAAGGUCUCCCUGUGCACAACCCUAACCCGGUACCCCCAUAAGGUGUCCCUGCGCACAACCCUAACCUAGUACCCUCAUUGUGUCCCUGCGCACAAUCCUAACCCGGUACCUCC